AGUGAACGCUGGCGGUAGGCCUAACACAUGCAAGUCGAACGGCAGCACAGUAAGAGCUUGCUCUUACGGGUGGCGAGUGGCGGACGGGUGAGGAAUACAUCGGAAUCUACUUUUUCGUGGGGGAUAACGUAGGGAAACUUACGCUAAUACCGCAUACGACCUACGGGUGAAAGCAGGGGAUCUUCGGACCUUGCGCGAUUGAAUGAGCCGAUGUCGGAUUAGCUAGUUGGCGGGGUAAAGGCCCACCAAGGCGACGAUCCGUAGCUGGUCUGAGAGGAGGAUCGGCCACACUGGAACUGGGACACGGUCCAGACUCCUACGGGAGGGAGCAGUGGGGAAUAUUGGACAAUGGGCGCAAGCCUGAUACAGCCAUACCGCGUGGGUGAAGAAGGCCUUCGGGUUGUAAAGCCCUUUUGUUGGGAAAGAAAAGCAGCAGGUUAAUACCCCGCUGUUCUGACGGUACCCAAAGAAUAAGCACCGGCUAACUUCGUG
rnacentral:rRNA from 1 species